rnacentral:rRNA from 1 species
AACGAACGCCGGCGGCAGGCUUAACACAUGCAAGUCGAGCGCAUCCUUCGGGGUGAGCGGCAGACGGGUGAGUAACGCGUGGGAACGUACCCUUUCCUACGGAAUAGCUCCGGGAAACUGGAAUUAAUACCGUAUACGCCCUUAGGGGGAAAGAUUUAUCGGGGAAGGAUCGGCCCGCGUUGGAUUAGCUAGUUGGUGGGGUAAAGGCCUACCAAGGCGACGAUCCAUAGCUGGUCUGAGAGGAUGAUCAGCCACAUUGGGACUGAGACACGGCCCAAACUCCUACGGGAGGCAGCAGUGGGGAAUAUUGGACAAUGGGCGCAAGCCUGAUCCAGCCAUGCCGCGUGAGUGAUGAAGGCCUUAGGGUUGUAAAGCUCUUUCAGUAGGGAAGAUAAUGACGGUACCUACAGAAGAAGCCCCGGCUAACUUCGUGCCAGCCGCCGCCGUAA